CAACUUUAGUUGAUUUCUCUGUGUGUG
rnacentral:piRNA from 1 species